rnacentral:misc_RNA from 1 species
AUAUAGGAAAUAGUGUUCGCACAAAUAAAAUUUAUCGAGUUUUUUUUUGAAACUAUUCUAAGAUAAAUCUUAUAUUAAAUAAGGGUAAAUAAACAAGUUUUUAAUAUUUAAAUUACUUUCACGUGUGCCAUUAAUUCAGAGAUCUAGUUCAAACUGCGAGGGCGACGGUUUUUUUACGUAGCAGGUUUCAAGGAUGGCAGACGAAGAUUAAUUAAUUACAACUUAAUAGAAAAACAAAAAAUUUAAAACUAUACAAUUAUAUUUGUAAGAUUUUUUGGGUAGAAUAUAAUUCUCUUCAAAUUAUGUUGAUAUGAACAGUUUACGCUGAAAUAAAUUAUGUAAAAAAAAUUAAAGCCUAUGAGUUACCUGAUGUUUAGCGCUAAGUUUAAACUUUAUACUAUUAUAUACAAUUACGAAUUUGCUAUAUCUUGCUUUGCUA